GUAAUAGCUCACUAGUCGAGUGACACUGCGCCGAAAAUGUACCGGGGCUCAACAUAUUACCGAAGCUGUGGAUCGUCCUUUAGGCCCAUGGUAGGAGAGCGCUCUAAGGGCGUUGAAGCAUGAUCGCCAGGACAUGUGGAGCGCUUAGAAGUGAGACUGCCGGUGUGAGUCGCGAAAGACGGGAGAGAAUCCCGUCCACCG
rnacentral:rRNA from 1 species